GGAUAAUCAGGAGGCAGACGCGGGACACGUGGCUGAGACUGCGAGGGAUGACAGUUCGGGGGCCUCGAGCUCGCACAGUGUCGACUGGUCGCUGUUACGGCGCGGCGGAAUGAUUUUUCAUUAAUCUGUUAAUUCUUCAUCCCUGCCGGAUUUUAAGUGGCUGUAGAAACAAUUCCGCGGUAAGUAGUAAACGUAAUUUGGCGACGACCGUGACGUCGGGCGUUAUUAAGCCUAAACAGCACUUUACAAAACGGCGCGAUAAUUCUCGAGGAGGCUCAGACUAAAAGGGGAAUUAGUUAAAUUUCAAUUAAAUUAACGUGCACGCUCGUUAUCGUCGUUCGCGCAAUUCUAUUCAGAGAGCAGAAUCGGUUGCGUGGCUUCAUUUUCCCUCCAGCUAUCGCGUUGCCUGUCAAUUCGACAUUUCUUCAUUCUCUGAGGCUGUCAUUCUGAAACUUACGUUAUCUCUCUUCCUCAUAAACUGCCACUCUGACGGUUUCGAAACGCGUUCCUACUCUGUAUUAUUUUGUAAUUAUUACAUUUGAAUUAAUUACAAUUAGUUUAGUUCAUUAAUAAACGUAACAAUUAUAUUUUGUAAUUAUUAACGUUUUACGUAAUUACAUUCCUUCCAGACAAUGAAGUGUCAUUUAAAAAUUGCACCGACUACAAUGCAAAUUACUUUCAUUCACCGCCUAAAUGCCGAUGUAAAAUAAAAGUUGGUAAUAAAGUUUCAAAGUGAUAUCAUUAAUGCGUUAAUUGCUGUUGUUUACCAGAGAACCAAGUGUUACAAAUAUUAACUUUAUUUGGAUACUCGCGGCAAGCAAACCGUUUGUAAAACGAUUUAAAAAUUUCCUCGAAUGUCCCUGUUAAUUUACAAAAAGCCAUCGGGUAAAUGUCAUUCGCGUAAAUAUCACUAAUUAAAAUGUUGUGCACUUGUCACGAACGUUGCGUUGUUAUUACAACGUAGCGAUAGAAGAGUCGUGAGAUUUUAUUUUACAGCAAACUCUACAACGCAACCUAUAUAGAAAUAUAGAAGGAAAAGGACCAAUUUAUAUAAAUUACGGAAAUGGAAUCCGUUUAAAUGGGAGAGAAAGUAGGAAAGUUCUGCUUGACGCUGAUUAAUGUGCGCAAUGGAAGGGAACCGAAGCUGGCGGUAGAUGGCAACGUCCCUUAGAGCAACUUCGGUAUUGCAACCCCUGCGAUUGUGCGAAAUUGCAAAUACCGACAUCUACCGGGGGGAAAGGGAAGUAAAACGGAAGGAGUUGAAAAUGAAAUAAGUGCGACACUUUUCCGUACAUCGGCGCGCAACUUUCCCCUGCAAAUCUCUUACCAUUACCUUCAGCGAUAACGCGAAUAUCUGAGGCUGUCUCCGGCCAGUCACCACCUCUUGGUAAGCUUGCAGUCGCGAAUGCUCGGGGUGUGUCUUCAGCGCGGGAUAUCGAUCGCGUAUCGUUAAGGGUGACAGCGAGAACUACAAUUUACAAUUGGUAUGCUUGACGUUACGUGCUGGCGUCUAGGCAUUUAGAACGCGUCAACGGAAAAAGAUGUUGGGGCGACAAAAAAAAUUACCGCUGUGAGAUUAAUUGCGGUAGAUACCAUUCGCCAAUGAGAAAUAUUUUGUAUAAUUGAUGAAAACUAUACUUAAAAUAUUAUACUUAAAAUAUUAUAGGCAUAAAGCCUCAAAGGAAUUAUUGAACAGAGAAAAAUAUUAAACAUGAAUUAACACUAUUAAACAUGCAUAAUAAUAGAAAAGACAAAUGCGUAGCGCUGCAGCGUUAAAAUGUACACACACACGUUUCAUAUAUGUACUAUAUGUAUAUAUAAUGAAGUUAAAAGCAGUUUUCUAACAAAGGAUUUUCAGGAAAAUUCUCAAUCCAAAAUUUAAAUUACAUUUUUCACUGUUGUUGAUAGAAUUUGCUGGCCUGUUACGCAUUGUGAAUCUAUUAGUAUUAAAAUGCCAACCGCUGAAAGCAUAACUGAUGACCUAUUGAUCACGUAUUUAUGACUUUUCUGUAACGCAGUAGGAGAUCACCGACAGCCAGAUCGUAUCACCGAUCUUAUUUGCUGUGCAUAAAUUCCUGUCCCUUGUAAAAUUGUGAAAAACGUAAGUAAUAUGACGGAAUAAAAUAAGCAGUACUUAAUUAAUUGUAGUAAAUAAUUUUGAAAUUUCUAUACAAUUUUUAUACGUAACUUUGUAUAUAAAUAAAAAUACUGUGAUAUGUAAGGAUGUCUUUCUUGGCGUAAAAUAGCAAAACAAAAUUUGCUGCACAAUUAACGCGUUGAGCAACAUUUAUCGUAUUUAUUAAAUAUUGAGUGACAGGAGCUUGUUGGAUUAUCUAUAAAAAUUCAAUUUAAGGUCAGUAUAAAUCCAAAGCGUGGAUGUACGUGCCAUAAUGAAGUUAUCUUUCUGCCCUUUAUGCACUUCGAACAGCUCAAUUUAACUCUUUGCACACCCAAAAUUUUUCUCAGUUAAUAUUACUUGAUAUCUGUUUUAAUUUUUACAGUUUUUCUCAAUCACACCAAUUCUUUUCUCUUAUUCCUUUCACGUGCGGCAUUAACAAACUUCGAUUUCCUCUGUACUUUUUUUCUUGGAAAUUUUAAUGAUCGCUU